UGCUUAAGAAGAACUUCGGUUUUUUCUUAAGCGGACUGGCGGACGGGUGAGUAACACGUGGGGAACCUAUCCAUCAGCGGGGGAUAACACUUGGAAACAGGUGCUAAUACCGCAUACGGCUUUUUUUCACCUGAAAGAAAGCUCAAAGGCGCUUUACAGCGUCACUGAUGGCUGGCCCCGCGGUGCAUUAGCCAGUUGGUGAGGUAACGGCUCACCAAAGCAACGAUGCAUAGCCGACCUGAGAGGGUGAUCGGCCACACUGGGACUGAGACACGGCCCAGACUCCUACGGGAGGCAGCAGUAGGGAAUCUUCGGCAAUGGACGCAAGUCUGACCGAGCAACGCCGCGUGAGUGAAGAAGGUUUUCGGAUCGUAAAGCUCUGUUGUCAGCAAAGAACAGGAGAAAGAGGAAAUGCUUUUUCUAUGACGGUAGCUGACCAGAAAGCCACGGCUAACUACGUGCCAGCAGCCGCGGUAAUACGUAGGUGGCAAGCGUUGUCC
rnacentral:rRNA from 1 species